AUGCUUGCUGCGGCUGCACAUCUACUAAAAUUGGAUCGUACAGAGAAGAUUAGCAUGGCCCCCUGCGAAAGGAUGACAUGCAAAUCCGUGCAAGCGCUCCAUAUUUCU
ensembl:snRNA U6 U6 spliceosomal RNA